rnacentral:lncRNA from 1 species
GCACCCCUCCAUGGGCUCUGCAUCAGCCCCUGCCUCCAGGUUCCUGCCAUGAUUGAGUUCCUGUCCUGACUUUCAAUGAUGAACACCUGGGAGACUAUUAUGCCACUUCAUCUAAAUCUCCAAUGCACAGUGUGGAACCUCCCCAGUCACACAGUGAACCGCCUGCCUUCCGGGACCUCAGCAAAUACCAAAUCCAUUUGCCCAGGAAUAAACCCCACCAUGUCCGUGGAGCUGGACUUGUGCUUGGAGUCUGUCUGCUCCUACCCACUGCCUCACGAGGAGUCUGCCAAGCUCUGGGCCUGGCUGCCUUUCUGAUAGCAACAGGUAAGACACUUCAUACAGACAGGUGCUCUGCAAGCGUGCCGUGAGCAAAGCCAUUGAGAGAAAGUGUAGGAACAGGAAGCAUUCACACGCAGCUCAUCAGGAGGGAACUGGCACAGAGUUGGAUUCAGAUCUUCUCAGUGACUAGAGAGAAACACACCAAAAACCUUCUGGUGUUGUGCUGCGGCUUCUUGCCACUUCUGCAGACUUGGGCUGAUCGGCAGAGAUGUAAGCUGAUACAGGACCAUGGGGAGUUUUGCUAAGACAGACUCACCUGCUGAGGCAAGACCCAUGGAGGACCCGUGAUGUUUGGAGGGAGGAUAAGUAGAACUCACUGGACUGUGAAAGGGGCUUCCUUGUAGAGCUACCUUUGCAGUGCUUCUUGGUCUUGCGUCUUUGCUGAUCUUCGCUUCAUUGAGAGAGGCACAGCAGAGAACUUCUCCUGACAUCCCUGGUGGUCCUGGUCCCUCCUGCUGACUUGUGCUGAUUCAGCGGAGGACUGUCUGUUCCUGCUAGGUCAUGCUACCACUGCUGC